rnacentral:rRNA from 1 species
GAUGAACGCUAGCUACAGGCUUAACACAUGCAAGUCGAGGGGCAGCACAGUGUAGCAAUACAUGGGUGGCGACCGGCGCACGGGUGCGUAACGCGUAUCCAACCUUCCCGUUACUCAGGGAUAGCCUUCCGAAAGGGAGAUUAAUACCUGAUGGUAUUCAAAUUUCGCAUGUUAUUUGAAUUAAAGAUUUAUCGGUAACGGAUGGGGAUGCGUGACAUUAGGUAGAUGGCGGGGUAACGGCCCACCAUGCCUACGAUGUCUAGGGGUUCUGAGAGGAAGGUCCCCCCACACUGGAACUGAGACACGGUCCAGACUCCUACGGGAGGCAGCAGUGAGGAAUAUUGGUCAAUGGUCGGAAGACUGAACCAGCCAAGUAGCGUGAAGGAAGACUGCCCUAUGGGUUGUAAACUUCUUUUGUUCGGGAAUAAAGUGCAGUAUGUAUACUGUUUUGUAUGUACCGUUCGAAUAAGCAUCGGCUAAUUCCGUG